AAGGAGGUAUAUAUUAAGCUUCUAACUUGAUUCAGAUUAUUAAAUUAUCACUCCUUU
rnacentral:tRNA from 1 species